UUAAGCGACUAAGCGUACACGGUGGAUGCCCUGGCAGUCAGAGGCGAUGAAGGACGUGCUAAUCUGCGAAAAGCGUCGGUAAGGUGAUAUGAACCGUUAUAACCGGCGAUGUCCGAAUGGGGAAACCCAGUGUGAUUCGUCACACUAUCGUUAACUGAAUACAUAGGUUAACGAGGCGAACCGGGGGAACUGAAACAUCUAAGUACCCCGAGGAAAAGAAAUCAACCGAGAUUCCCCCAGUAGCGGCGAGCGAACGGGGAGCAGCCCAGAGUCUGAAUCAGCUUGUGUGUUAGUGGAACGGUCUGGAAAGUCCGACGGUACAGGGUGAUAGUCCCGUACACCAAAAUGCACAGGUUGUGAACUCGAAGAGUAGGGCGGGACACGUGGUAUCCUGUCUGAAUAUGGGGGGACCAUCCUCCAAGGCUAAAUACUCCUGACUGACCGAUAGUGAACCAGUACCGUGAGGGAAAGGCGAAAAGAACCCCGGCGAGGGGAGUGAAAAAGAACCUGAAACCGUGUACGUACAAGCAGUGGGAGCACCUUCGGGUGUGACUGCGUACCUUUUGUAUAAUGGGUCAGCGACUUAUAUUCUGUAGCAAGGUUAACCGUAUAGGGGAGCCGCAGGGAAACCGAGUCUUAACUGGGCGUUAAGUUGCAGGGUAUAGACCCGAAACCCGGUGAUCUAGCCAUGGGCAGGUUGAAGGUUGGGUAACACUAACUGGAGGACCGAACCGACUAAUGUUGAAAAAUUAGCGGAUGACUUGUGGCUGGGGGUGAAAGGCCAAUCAAACCGGGAGAUAGCUGGUUCUCCCCGAAAGCUAUUUAGGUAGCGCCUCGUGAAUUCAUCUUCGGGGGUAGAGCACUGUUUCGGCUAGGGGGUCAUCCCGACUUACCAACCCGAUGCAAACUACGAAUACCGAAGAAUGUUAUCACGGGAGACACACGGCGGGUGCUAACGUCCGUCGUGAAGAGGGAAACAACCCAGACCGCCAGCUAAGGUCCCAAAGUCAUGGUUAAGUGGGAAACGAUGUGGGAAGGCACAGACAGCCAGGAUGUUGGCUUAGAAGCAGCCAUCAUUUAAAGAAAGCGUAAUAGCUCACUGGUCGAGUCGGCCUGCGCGGAAGAUGUAACGGGGCUAAACCAUGCACCGAAGCUGCGGCAGCGACACUAUGUGUUGUUGGGUAGGGGAGCGUUCUGUAAGCCUGCGAAGGUGACCUGUGAGGGUUGCUGGAGGUAUCAGAAGUGCGAAUGCUGACAUAAGUAACGAUAAAGCGGGUGAAAAGCCCGCUCGCCGGAAGACCAAGGGUUCCUGUCCAACGUUAAUCGGGGCAGGGUGAGUCGACCCCUAAGGCGAGGCCGAAAGGCGUAGUCGAUGGGAAACAGGUUAAUAUUCCUGUACUUGGUGUUACUGCGAAGGGGGGACGGAGAAGGCUAUGUUAGCCGGGCGACGGUUGUCCCGGUUUAAGCAUGUAGGCUGAUUGUCCAGGCAAAUCCGGAUAAUCAAGGCUGAGGUGUGAUGACGAGGCACUACGGUGCUGAAGUAACAAAUGCCCUGCUUCCAGGAAAAGCCUCUAAGCAUCAGGUAACAUCAAAUCGUACCCCAAACCGACACAGGUGGUCAGGUAGAGAAUACCAAGGCGCUUGAGAGAACUCGGGUGAAGGAACUAGGCAAAAUGGUGCCGUAACUUCGGGAGAAGGCACGCUGGUGUGUAGGUGAAGUCCCUGCGGAUGGAGCUGAGACCAGUCGAAGAUACCAGCUGGCUGCAACUGUUUAUUAAAAACACAGCACUGUGCAAACACGAAAGUGGACGUAUACGGUGUGACGCCUGCCCGGUGCCGGAAGGUUAAUUGAUGGGGUUAUCCGUAAGGAGAAGCUCUUGAUCGAAGCCCCGGUAAACGGCGGCCGUAACUAUAACGGUCCUAAGGUAGCGAAAUUCCUUGUCGGGUAAGUUCCGACCUGCACGAAUGGCGUAAUGAUGGCCAGGCUGUCUCCACCCGAGACUCAGUGAAAUUGAACUCGCUGUGAAGAUGCAGUGUACCCGCGGCAAGACGGAAAGACCCCGUGAACCUUUACUAUAGCUUGACACUGAACAUUGAGCCUUGAUGUGUAGGAUAGGUGGGAGGCUUUGAAGCGUGGACGCCAGUCUGCGUGGAGCCAACCUUGAAAUACCACCCUUUAAUGUUUGAUGUUCUAACGUUGGCCCCUUACCGGGGUUGCGGACAGUGUCUGGUGGGUAGUUUGACUGGGGCGGUCUCCUCCCAAAGCGUAACGGAGGAGCACGAAGGUUAGCUAAUCCUGGUCGGACAUCAGGAGGUUAGUGCAAUGGCAUAAGCUAGCUUGACUGCGAGCGUGACGGCGCGAGCAGGUGCGAAAGCAGGUCAUAGUGAUCCGGUGGUUCUGAAUGGAAGGGCCAUCGCUCAACGGAUAAAAGGUACUCCGGGGAUAACAGGCUGAUACCGCCCAAGAGUUCAUAUCGACGGCGGUGUUUGGCACCUCGAUGUCGGCUCAUCACAUCCUGGGGCUGAAGUAGGUCCCAAGGGUAUGGCUGUUCGCCAUUUAAAGUGGUACGCGAGCUGGGUUUAGAACGUCGUGAGACAGUUCGGUCCCUAUCUGCCGUGGGCGCUGGAGAAUUGAGGGGGGCUGCUCCUAGUACGAGAGGACCGGAGUGGACGCAUCACUGGUGUUCGGGUUGUCAUGCCAAUGGCACUGCCCGGUAGCUAAAUGCGGAAGAGAUAAGUGCUGAAAGCAUCUAAGCACGAAACUUGCCCCGAGAUGAGUUCUCCCUGAGACUUUAAGUCUCCUGAAGGAACGUUGAAGACGACGACGUUGAUAGGCCGGGUGUGUAAGCGCAGCGAUGCGUUGAGCUAACCGGUACUAAUGAACCGUGAGGCUUAACCUU
rnacentral:rRNA from 2 species